GGCGAGUGAACCGGGAAGAGCUCAAAUUUGAAAUCUGGCGUCCUCAGGGCGUCCGAGUUGUAAUCUAUAGAGGCGUUUUCCGUGCCGGACCGUGUCCAAGUUCCUUGGAACAGGAUAUCAAAGAGGGUGACAAUCCCGUACUUGACACGACGACCGGUGCUCUGUGAUACGUCUUCUACGAGUCGAGUUGUUUGGGAAUGCAGCUCAAAAUGGGUGGUGAGUUCCAUCUAAAGCUAAAUAUUGGCGAGAGACCGAUAGCGAACAAGUACCGUGAGGGAAAGAUGAAAAGCACUUUGGAAAGAGAGUUAAACAGUACGUGAAAUUGUUGAAAGGGAAACGAUUGAAGUCAGUCGUGACCGAGAGGCUCAGCCGGUUCUGCCGGUGUAUUCCCCUCGGUCGGGUCAACAUCAGUUUUGUCCGGUGGAUAAGGGCGGUAGGAAGGUGGCACCCUCGGGUGUGUUAUAGCCUGCCGUCGCAUACAUCGGGUGAGACUGAGGAACGCAGCUCGCCUUUAUGGCCGGGGUUCGCCCACGUCCGAGCUUAGGAUGUUGACAUAAUGGCUUUAAACGACCCGUCUUGA
rnacentral:rRNA from 1 species